GACAGAGGAUGCAAGCGUUAUCCGGAAUGAUUGGGCGUAAAGCGUCUGUAGGUGCUUUUUAAGUCCGCCGUCAAAUCCCCGGGCUCAACCCUGGACAGGCGGUGGAAACUACCAAGCUGGAGUACGGUAGGGGCAGAGGGAAUUUCCGGUGGAGCGGUGAAAUGCGUAGAGUAUCAAGUGGAACACCAGUGGCGAAGGCGAGUCUCUGGACAUUUCCUGACGCUGAGGCACGAAAGCCAGGGGAGCAAACGGG
rnacentral:rRNA from 1 species